rnacentral:rRNA from 1 species
UACGAAGGGGGCUAGCGUUGUUCGGAAUUACUGGGCGUAAAGCGUGCGCAGGCGGUCUUUCAAGUCAGUGGUGAAAGCCUGGAGCUCAACUCCAGAACUGCCAUUGAAACUGCAAGGCUUGAGUACGAGAGAGGUGAGUGGAAUUCCCAGUGUAGAGGUGAAAUUCGUAGAUAUUGGGAAGAACACCGGUGGCGAAGGCGGCUCACUGGCUCGUAACUGACGCUCAGGCGCGACAGCGUGGGGAUCAAACAGG